UACGUAGGGGGCUAGCGUUGUCCGGAAUCAUUGGGCGUAAAGCGCGUGUAGGCGGUCCGGUAAGUCCGCUGUGAAAGUCGGGGGCUCAACCCUCGGAUGCCGGUGGAUACUGUCGGGCUUGAGUACGGACGAGGCGAGUGGAAUUCCUGGUGUAGCGGUGAAAUGCGCAGAUAUCAGGAGGAACACCAAUUGCGAAGGCAGCUCGCUGGGACGUUACUGACGCUGAGACGCGAAAGCGUGGGGAGCAAACAGG
rnacentral:rRNA from 1 species